rnacentral:rRNA from 1 species
GACGAACGCUGGCGGCGUGCUUAACACAUGCAAGUCGAACGGAAAGGCCCUGCUUUUGUGGGGUGCUCGAGUGGCGAACGGGUGAGUAACACGUGAGUAACCUGCCCUUGACUUUGGGAUAACUUCAGGAAACUGGGGCUAAUACCGGAUAGGAGCUCCUGCUGCAUGGUGGGGGUUGGAAAGUUUCGGCGGUUUGGGAUGGACUCGCGGCUUAUCAGCUUGUUGGUGGGGUAGUGGCUUACCAAGGCUUUGACGGGUAGCCGGCCUGAGAGGGUGACCGGCCACAGUGGGACUGAGAUAGGGGCCAGACUCCUACGUGAGGCAGCAGUGGGGAAUAUUGCACGAUGGGCGGAAGCCUGAUGCAGCAACGCCGCGUGCGGGAUGACGGCCUUCGGGUUGUAAACCGCUUUCGCCUGUGACGAAGCGUGAGUGACGGUAAUGUGUAAAGAAGCACCGGCUAACUACGUG